GACGAACGCUGGCGGCGUGCUUAACACAUGCAAGUCGAACGGGAAUUUCCUGGUAGCUUGCUACCGUGAAGUUCUAGUGGCGAACGGGUGAGUAACACGUGGGUAACCUGCCCCGGAGACCGGGAUAACACGGGGAAACCCGUGACUAAUACCGGAUAUCCUGCCUUUCUCGAAUGGCAUCGGCAGAAAACGGUAGAGUAAUCUUCCGCUCGGGGAUGGGCCCGCGCCCCAUUAGCUUGUCGGUGAGGUAAAAGCUCACCGAGGCAACGAUGGGUAGCCGGCCUGAGAGGGCAACCGGCCACACUGGGACUGAGAUACGGUCCAGACUCCUACGGGUGGCUG
rnacentral:rRNA from 1 species